rnacentral:piRNA from 1 species
UGAAGGUAUCGGUAGACUUCCAUGUCUGGAU